GCCAACAGUCAUUUAUUGUUCACAGUUGAAAUAUUGACAUUCUAAAAUCUUUGAGGCAUCCCUCUGACUAUGGCCGCCAUCAUUCUCGACGGAGGUCUACUGCUGCAAAAGCUCAGUUCGUCGAUAUUCUCUUAGUUCUGUAAAAGUUCAGUUCAUCGAUAUUCUCUUUACAUCUUUCUAUUUCUCAAUCGCAAAUUACAGUAAUACAAAGCAAAUGAAAAGAGAACAGCCAUUCCACCAUUGACAGCUACUAAAAAGCUUGAAAGCUUUGAAUUCAAAUUUGAGUUUUUAAAAAUCAUUAUUUGUUUGGAUUAGGUGUUGUUAAAAAUAAUCGGC
rnacentral:lncRNA from 1 species